AGAGUUUGAUCCUGGCUCAGGAUGAACGCUGGCGGCGUGCUUAACACAUGCAAGUCGAACGAUCCUUCGGGAUAGUGGCGGACGGGUGAGUAACGCGUGGGAAUCUGCCCUCAGGAGGGGGAUAACGGCUGGAAACGGCCGCUAAUACCCCAUAUGCCGAGAGGUGAAAUGAAUUUCGCCUGAGGAUGAGCCCGCGUCUGAUUAGCUAGUUGGUGGGGUAAAGGCCUACCAAGUCAACGAUCAGUAGCUGGUCUGAGAGGAUGAUCAGCCACACUGGGACUGAGACACGGCCCAGACUCCUACGGGAGGCAGCAGUGGGGAAUUUUCCGCAAUGGGCGAAAGCCUGACGGAGCAACGCCGCGUGAGGGAUGAAGGCCUCUGGGCUGUAAACCUCUUUUCUCAAGGAAGAAGACCUGACGGUACUUGAGGAAUAAGCCACGGCUAAUUCCGUGCCAGCAGCCGCGGUAAUACGGGAGUGGCAAGCGUUAUCCGGAAUUAUUGGGCGUAAAGCGUCCGCAGGCGGCCUUGUAAGUCUGUUGUUAAAGCGUGGAGCUCAACUCCAUUUAAGCAAUGGAAACUACAAGGCUGGAGUGUGGUAGGGGCAGAGGGAAUUCCCGGUGUAGCGGUGAAAUGCGUAGAUAUCGGGAAGAACACCAGUGGCGAAGGCGCUCUGCUGGGCCACAACUGACGCUCAUGGACGAAAGCCAGGGGAGCGAAAGGGAUUAGAUACCCCUGUAGUCCUGGCCGUAAACGAUGAACACUAGGUGUCGGGGGAAUCGACCCCCUCGGUGUCGUAGCCAACGCGUUAAGUGUUCCGCCUGGGGAGUACGCACGCAAGUGUGAAACUCAAAGGAAUUGACGGGGGCCCGCACAAGCGGUGGAGUAUGUGGUUUAAUUCGAUGCAACGCGAAGAACCUUACCAGGGUUUGACAUCCUGCGAACCCCUGAGAAAUCGGGGGGUGCCUUCGGGAGCGCAGAGACAGGUGGUGCAUGGCUGUCGUCAGCUCGUGUCGUGAGAUGUUGGGUUAAGUCCCGCAACGAGCGCAACCCACGUCUUUAGUUGCCAGCAUUCAGUUGGGCACUCUAGAGAGACCGCCGGUGAUAAACCGGAGGAAGGUGUGGAUGACGUCAAGUCAUCAUGCCCCUUACAUCCUGGGCUACACACGUACUACAAUGCUACGGACAAAGGGCAGCAAGCUCGCGAGAGUUAGCAAAUCCCAUAAACCGUGGCUCAGUUCAGAUCGUAGGCUGCAACUCGCCUACGUGAAGGAGGAAUCGCUAGUAAUCGCAGGUCAGCAUACUGCGGUGAAUACGUUCCCGGGCCUUGUACACACCGCCCGUCACACCAUGGAAGUUGGCCAUGCCCGAAGUCGUUACUCCAACC
rnacentral:rRNA from 1 species